AGAGUACGUGAAACCGUUUAGGGGUAAACCUGAGAAACCCGAAAGGUCGAAGGGAGAAAUUCAUUCGCGUCUCGACGCAGGCGUCGGACGGGGUCAGAGCGACGGAACGGGCGCGCGUUUUUCUUCGGAAUCGCGCGUUCGAUUUUGCGCCCUCCGUCCUUCGAACCGGCUGCGAACGCGUGCACUUUUCUCCUGGUAGGACGUCGCGAUCCGUCGGGCGUCGGUCUACGACUUGCGGCGGAGACCGUCCGUCGUUCUCGCGAACGUACGGCGCGGACCCGCUCGUUCCGGCCGACUCGCUCGACGGUAAGCUCGAGGUCUGGGGUCGCUACGAUAUAUCUAUACCGUAGAGCGUUCGACUCGUCGCAAGCGCGUCACGUGCGUCGGCACGCGGACCCGGUGCCGCGUCCGAUCUCUGGCGACUGUUGGCGACGAAGUUCUCGGACAGACUUCCAUAAAAAAGGGGGGCGGGGAGGAGAAGAAGGGGGGGUUCGCGCUUCCUUCUCGCUCUCUCUCUGUCUCUCGAAGACCGAUCGGCGACGCUAUAGCUUUGGGUACUUUCAGGACCCGUCUUGAAACACGGACCAAGGAGUCUAGCAUGUACGCGAGUCAUUGGGAUUUUUACUAAACCUAAAGGCGCAAUGAAAGUGAAGGUUUUCCUCGCGAAGACCGUGGGAAGACGGACGGGCGGGCGCGCGGCGCGUACUUCGGUGCGCGUCGCGGUACCGAAACGAUCGCCCGUCCCGCAUUCCCGGGGCGUCUCGUUCGCAUCGCGCGAAGAGGCGCACCGCGAGCGUACACGCUGGGACCCGAAAGAUGGUGAACUAUGCCUGGUCAGGACGAAGUCAGGGGAAACCCUGAUGGAGGUCCGUAGCGAUUCUGACGUGCAAAUCGAUCGUCGGAACUGGGUAUAGGGGCGAA
rnacentral:rRNA from 1 species